rnacentral:rRNA from 1 species
CGAACGGGUGAGUAACGCGUGGAUUAUCUGCCCUGAGGUGGGGGAUAGCCCGGGGAAACUCGGGCUAAUACCGCAUAUGACCGUGAGGUCAAAGGGGGGUCGCAAGAUCUCUCGCCAUAGGAGGAGUCCGCGUUCGAUUAGCUAGUUGGUAGGGUAAUGGCCUACCAAGGCGACGAUCGAUAGCCGGCCUGAGAGGGUGAUCGGCCACACUGGAACUGAGACACGGUCCAG